AUGGUGCACCUUGGCCGGGCAAGGCUGGUGCUGUUCUCUCUCUCUCUCUCUCUUAAAUUGGUUCUUUUUUUUUUCUAAGAUUAAAUACUUGGUUGGUUGUGUUAGAUUACUGAUGUUGCAGAUGAAAUCGGUGUUGGAUUACACUUCAACCCAUUUGUUACCAGGAAUAACAAGGGUGUCUUCUUAAAAUCCUUCACCCUUGAGCAAUUUUUGGCAGAUGUUCAAGUAUGGGGUUGUUCGAAUGGAUGAUCUGAUAUAGGACAUACUCAAUUGGGAGAGGUUCUAUCUUAGUGGUCGAUUACAAAAACCUGUUCAUAUACUGAAGGAUAAUCUGGAUAUUUCAAAUGUAAACUCUGUUAAUUUGAGAGCUGCAACAUCUGCUGCUCUCCUUCUUUUGCCAUCCAAAUUCAAUGAGG